CUCGCACGACGCCACCAUCCACGGCCUCGCCGCCAUGCUCAGGGAUAGGUACCCCGAGUACGACAUCCCGGAGAGGUUCCCCGGGAUUGAGGACGACCUCCAGCCCGUGCACUUCUCGUCCAAGAAGCUCCUAGACCAUGGCUUCACUUUCAAGUACACGGUGGAGGACAUGUUCGACGCCGCCAUCCGAAUGUGCCGGGAGAAGGGCCUCAUCCCCCUCGCCACGGCCGGAGGGGGGAGGGCUCUGCCUUAGUGCGCGCGACCUCCAGCCCGUGCACUUCUCGUCCAAGAAGCUCCUAGACCAUGGCUUCACUUUCAAGCUCAUAGUGUUCUCGUGUUGUUUUAUACCGAAAUAAAUGUUACUCCGCAUUUUAUUUCAGCUUACGCCUUGCCCCUAUAGUAGAGAUCCUACAAAUAAGUUGUCUGUAUUCUUUUUACAACAACUCAAAACACAUGUCUUCGUAAAUUCAACAGAAUUUCUUAUAUGAAAACUAUCUAUGUACAGGGAACAUUAUUUUUAAUGAACGUUUUCUCCAUCCCAGUCUUCGAGUGUGU
rnacentral:lncRNA from 1 species